GGUCAAGCGACAAAGCGCAUACGGUGGAUGCCUUGGCGGUCAGAGGCGAUGAAGGACGUGGCAGCCUGCGAAAAGCUCCGGGGAGCUGGCAACAAGCAUUGAUCCGGGGAUGUCCGAAUGGGGAAACCCACUCCGCGAGGAGUAUCCAGAUCUGAAUACAUAGGGUCUGGAAGCGAACCCAGGGAACUGAAAUAUCUCAGUACCUGGAGGAAAAGAAAUCAACCGAGAUUCCCUCAGUAGCGACGAGCGAACGGGGAACAGCCCAAAAGUGGUGCAAGUUCUAGUGGAGCGGUCUGGAAAGGCCGGCCAUAGACGGUGAUAGCCCGGUACACGAAAGGGCUUGUGCCAUGAAAGUGAGUAGGGCGGGGCACGUGAAACCCUGUCUGAACAUGGGGGGACCAUCCUCCAAGGCUAAAUACUCCUGACCGACCGAUAGUGAACCAGUACCGUGAGGGAAAGGCGAAAAGAACCCCGGAGAGGGGAGUGAAAUAGAUCCUGAAACCGUAUGCGUACAAGCAGUGGAAGCCCCUUCGUGGGGUGACUGCGUACCUUUUGUAUAAUGGGUCAGCGACUUACAGUUUGUGGCGAGCUUAACCGUAUAGGGGAGGCGAAGGGAAACCGAGUCUGAAUAGGGCGCAUAGUCGCAGGCUGUAGACCCGAAACCGGGUGAUCUAGUCAUGCCCAGGGUGAAGGUCCGGUAACACGGACUGGAGGCCCGAACCCACUCCCGUUGCAAAGGUAGGGGAUGAGGUGUGAUUAGGAGUGAAAAGCUAAUCGAACCCGGAGAUAGCUGGUUCUCCUCGAAAGCUAUUUAGGUAGCGCCUCAAGUAUCACUGUUGGGGGUAGAGCACUGUUAUGGCUAGCGGGUCAUUGAGACUUAGCAAACCAUUGCAAACUCCGAAUACCAACACGUGCAAGCUUGGGAGACACACGGCGGGUGCUAACGUCCGUCGUGAAAAGGGAAACAACCCAGACCCGCAGCUAAGGUCCCAAAAUCAUGGCUCAGUGGUGAACGAUGUGGGAAGGCAUAGACAGCCAGGAGGUUGGCUUAGAAGCAGCCAUCCUUUAAAGAAAGCGUAAUAGCUCACUGGUCGAGUCGGCCUGCGCGGAAGAUUUAACGGGGCUAAGCCAUGUACCGAAGCUCGGGGUUCACACCUUUGGUGUGAGCGGUAGAGGAGCGUUCCGUACGCCUGUGAAGGUGAGUCGUAAGGCUUGCUGGAGGUAUCGGAAGUGCGAAUGCUGACAUGAGUAACGAUAAGGGGGGUGAAAAGCCCCCCCGCCGAAAGCCCAAGGUUUCCUCGCGCAACGUUAAUCGGCGCAGGGUGAGUCGGCCCCUAAGGCGAGGCGGAAACGCGUAGUCGAUGGGAAGCGGGUUAAUAUUCCCGCACCGCUCGUGAUUGCGAUGGAGUGACGGAGAAGGCUAGGUGUACCGGGCGUUGGUUGUCCCGGGGAAAGGCGGUAGGUGUGGAUCUUAGGCAAAUCCGGGAUCCUCUACACCGAGCACCGAGACGAGUCCUUAUCAGGACGAAGUCACUGAGGCCACGCUUCCAGGAAAAACUUCUAAGCUUCAGAUCACGAGGACCGUACCGUAAACCGACACAGGUAGGCAGGGUGAGAAUCCCAAGGCGCUUGAGAGAACUCGGGUGAAGGAACUAGGCAACAUAGCACCGUAACUUCGGGAGAAGGUGCGCCCUUGAUCGUGGCUCCGUGCGGAGCUGAGCGAUCGGGGGCCGCAGUGACCAGGCCGCUGCGACUGUUUAUCAAAAACACAGCACUCUGCAAACACGAAAGUGGACGUAUAGGGUGUGACGCCUGCCCGGUGCCGGAAGGUUAAUUGAUGGGGUCAGCCGCAAGGCGAAGCUCUUGAUCGAAGCCCCGGUAAACGGCGGCCGUAACUAUAACGGUCCUAAGGUAGCGAAAUUCCUUGUCGGGUAAGUUCCGACCUGCACGAAUGGCGUAACGAUGGCGGCGCUGUCUCCACCCGAGACUCAGUGAAAUUGAAAUCGCUGUGAAGAUGCAGCGUUCCCGCGGCAAGACGGAAAGACCCCGUGAACCUUUACUAUAGCUUCACGCUGAACGUUGAGUUCGUCUGUGUAGGAUAGGUGGGAGGCGUUGAAACCAGGGCGCUAGUUCUGGUGGAGCCAUCCUUGAAAUACCACCCUGAUGUGCUUGACGUUCUAACCUAGGCCCGUAAUCCGGGUCGGGGACCGCGUGUGGUGGGUAGUUUGACUGGGGCGGUCUCCUCCCAAAGUGUAACGGAGGAGCACGAAGGUGCGCUCAGCGCGGUCGGACAUCGCGCAGUGUGUGUAAGAGCAAAAGCGCGCUUGACUGCGAGAUCGACGGAUCAAGCAGGUGCGAAAGCAGGUUCUAGUGAUCCGGUGGUUCUGUAUGGAAGGGCCAUCGCUCAACGGAUAAAAGGUACUCCGGGGAUAACAGGCUGAUUCCGCCCAAGAGUUCAUAUCGACGGCGGAGUUUGGCACCUCGAUGUCGGCUCAUCACAUCCUGGGGCUGUAGCCGGUCCCAAGGGUAUGGCUGUUCGCCAUUUAAAGUGGUACGCGAGCUGGGUUCAGAACGUCGUGAGACAGUUCGGUCCCUAUCUGUCGUGGGCGUUGGAGAUUUGAGAGGGGCUGCUCCUAGUACGAGAGGACCGGAGUGGACGAUCCCCUGGUGUUCCGGUUGUCACGCCAGUGGCACAGCCGGGUAGCUACGAUCGGAAGCGAUAACCGCUGAAAGCAUCUAAGCGGGAAGCGCGCCUCAAGAUGAGAUCUCCCGGGGCCUUGAGCCCCCUGAAGGACCCAUGAAGACUACAUGGUUGAUAGGUCGGGUGUGUAUAGCAGCAAUGCCGAGCUAACCGAUACUAAUGAUCCGUGCGGCUUGAUCAUAUAACUCCAAGACGCUUCCA
rnacentral:rRNA from 1 species